GACGAACGCUGGCGGCGUGCUUAACACAUGCAAGUCGAACGAUGAAACCUAGCUUGCUAGGUCGAUUAGUGGCGAACGGGUGAGUAACACGUGACUAACCUGCCCCUUUCUCUGGGAUAACGCCCCGAAAGGAGUGCUAAUACCGGAUACUCACAUCGAGGCACAUGCCUUGGUGUGGAAAGGUUUUCGGAAAGGGAUGGAGUCGCGGCCUAUCAGCUUGUUGGUGAGGUAACGGCUCACCAAGGCGACGACGGGUAGCCGGCCUGAGAGGGCGACCGGCCACACUGGGACUGAGACACGGCCCAGACUCCUACGGGAGGCAGCAGUGGGGAAUAUUGCACAAUGGGCGCAAGCCUGAUGCAGCGACGCCGCGUGAGGGAUGAAGGUCUUCGGAUUGUAAACCUCUUUCAGUAGGGACGAAGCGAAAGUGACGGUACCUAAAGAAGAAGCACCGGCUAACUACGUGCCAGCCGCCGCCGUAA
rnacentral:rRNA from 1 species